rnacentral:rRNA from 1 species
GACGAACGCUGGCGGCUUGCCUAAUACAUGCAAGUCGAACGAAGUGGCGAACGGGGGAGUAAUAAGUGUGUAACCUGCCCUCCUUUUUGGGAUAAGCCUUGGAAACGGGGUCUAAUAUCGAAUAAAGGGGGAUGAGCUCGCGGCCUAUCAGCUUGUUGGUGGGGUGAUGGCCUACCAAGGCGGUGACGGGUAGCCGGCCUGAGAGGGGGAACGGCCACAUUGGGACAGAGAUACGGCCCAGACGCCUACGGGAGGGAGCAGUGUGGGAGCAUGCGCAAUGGGCGAAAGCCAGAUGCAGCGACGCCGCGGGGGGGAUGAAGGCUGUCGGGUUGUAAAGCUAUUUCGCUAUCGAGCGGGUAGGUGGAGAAGGAGCGCCGGCUAACUACGUGCCAGCAGACGAGGUAAUUG